CGCGUAGGCGGUUGUUCAAGUCACAUGUGAAAUACCCGGGCUCAACCUGGGGGGUGCAUGUGAAACUGGAUAACUUGAGUGUGGUAGAGGAAAGUGGAAUUCCUAGUGUAGCGGUGAAAUGCGUAGAUAUUAGGAGGAACACCAGUGGCGAAGGCGACUUUCUGGGCCACAACUGACGCUGAGGCGCGAAAGCGUGGGGAGCAAACA
rnacentral:rRNA from 1 species